GAUGAACGCUGGCGGCGUGCCUAAUACAUGCAAGUAGAACGCUGACGGAGGAGCUUGCUCUUCUGGAUGAGUUGCGAACGGGUGAGUAACGCGUAGGUAACCUGCCUGGUAGCGGGGGAUAACUAUUGGAAACGAUAGCUAAUACCGCAUGACAACAGUUCUUGCAUGAUAACUGUUUAAAAGGGGCAACUGCUCCACUACCAGAUGGACCUGCGUUGUUUUAGCUAGUUGGUGAGGUAACGGCUCACCAAGGCGACGAUACAUAGCCGACCUGAGAGGGUGGUCGGGCACACUGGGACUGGGACACGGCCCAGGCUCCUACGGGAGGCAGCAGGAGGGGAACUUCGGAAAUGGGCGGAAGUCUGGCCGAGGAACGCCGGGGGAGGGGAGGAAGGUGUCGGAGCGGAAAGCUCUGUUGUAAGAGAAGAAAGAGUGUGAGGGUGGAAAGUUCACGCUGUGACGGUAUCUGAACAGAAAGGGACGGCUAACUACGUG
rnacentral:rRNA from 1 species